rnacentral:rRNA from 1 species
GACGAACGCUGGCGGCGUGCUUAACACAUGCAAGUCGAACGAUGAAGCCGGAGCUUGCUCUGGUGAAUUAGUGGCGAACGGGUGAGUAACGCGCGAGUAACCUGCCCUUGACUCUGGGAUAACUGCGGGAAACUGUAGCUAAUACCGGAUACGACCCUCGGAGGCAUCUCCUGGGGGUGGAAAGAAUUUCGGUCAAGGAUGGACUCGCGGCCUAUCAGCUAGUUGGUGAGGUAAGGGCUCACCAAGGCGGCGACGGGUAGCCGGCCUGAGAGGGUGACCGGCCACACUGGGACUGAGACACGGCCCAGACUCCUACGGGAGGCAGCAGUGGGGAAUAUUGCACAAUGGGCGCAAGCCUGAUGCAGCAACGCCGCGUGAGGGAUGACGGCCUUCGGGUUGUAAACCUCUUUUAGCAGGGAAGAAGCGAAAGUGACGGUACCUGCAGAAAAAGCACCGGCUAACUACGUGCCAGCCGCCGCGGUAA